GCCCCCCAUGCCCUACCUUUGUCCCUAAAUCUUUCAUGUUCUCAUCAAGCAGGAGGGUGUUUGGUGUUUGGUUACUGUCUCCAUUGUAAGGGAGGAAAUUGCUUUUGCAACUGCGGUCCCAGAGGCUGUACUUUUCUUUUGCAAUUAAACCCUUAUCAGACCUCACGCUGCAGUGAUAACGUUGACUGAAUAGGUGUUUGCUGACAGACAUUGACCUGCAGCCUAAAUAAUGUAAGGAAAAUGCUUUUGAGUUUUUUGGCUUUUUUAAAGUCCUUGCCUAGUUCAUGGCUGAAGCCGUAUUUGCAGUAAAUAAAGUGAAAUUAUUUAGGACUGUAUUGGGUACUACUAGCAUCUGUGUCAAAGCCACUCUCUAGGCAUGAUGGGGUGACUUUGUUGUGGGAGCACGAUCUGACAGGGCUGAAUACCAUUUUUUCACCCCAGCACUUAUGGUGAAGAGCCAGAGCACCCUGCUUGCUCUGGCAGCGGGAGAGCUAUAAUCCUACUCAGUCUGAGGAAAUGGUCCAUCCACCUAAAGGGCAGUUUUGCAUUUCAGUGCUGUUGUGUUGAAAGCCGAAUUAAUAACAAGGUUUGGCCAAGCUCUGCAAAAGUUGAAACCUGGCUUCUGGCUCAGUUUCUGUCUGACAAAGAGCAAGAUUUUUAUGUUCCUUUCAGCAGCGUUGCUUCGCAUUGCAGCACGCAAGCUGUGGGUGGCUUCUCUUCAGAUUGAGAAUACCGGUGGGUCUCGUGAGUCAUGGUGGGAGGGUGACAUGGGGUUGGAUUUUAAAAGGUGAAGAGUCAACGUUUGUGAAGCUUCUACAGCCUAUGCAAUUAAUUUGUAACAACAGAGCUAGCAUAAAUCCUACCACUGCUGCGCACAGCAGCACCUGGUGAUGUGGCUGUACGGCUGGGAGAAGUGCCAGAAAAAUAGAGGAAAGAAAUGUCACUUGUAUCUUCGUGAAGGGGAAGAAGGUGUACUUAGGGAACUGCAGGCCUGUCAGCCUCACUAUGAUCCCUGGGAUGGUGAUGGAAAGCCUAAUUCUGGAAAACAUUUCUAAGCACAUGAAGGAGAAGAAAACCUCCAGGAGUAGUCAGCAUGGCAAGUCGCACCUGUCCGAACAGAUAAGCUUCUAUAAGGAAUUCACCAGCCUGAUGGAUGAAGGAGGAGCAGAGGACAUUGUCUUCCCAGUCUUCCUUAAGGCCUUUGACACCGAUCCCCAUAAGGUCCUAGGGCUGAGGAGUCAUGAUGGACAUCAAGAUGAACUUGAGGCAGCAAUGUGCUGUUGAUACUAAGAAGGCUCAUGGUAUUCUUGGCUGAAUUAAGAGCAUGGAUUGAAGUCAGGUACCCCUUCUCCCCCUUGAGAAAGGAGCCAACAGAAGAAUCAAGAGAAAUGAAAGAGUAAAAGAGGUGGCUGCAAGUGAUACAAUGAGUACCAUAGAGACGACUGCAAAGCUGCUUGGAGUCCUGCUCAACACUCUAUCAAAACCUGUGCAACUCUGUCCACUCUGGGGGAGCUUAGCAAAUGGAAAUGACCACGUGUUUUUAACCAAUAAUCUACAAUAAUCACCAAUAAUCUACACAAAUAAAACUAUUAUUAUUAUUAUUAUUAUUAUUAUUAUUAUUAUUAUUAUUACAAAAAGGGAAACAAGCAAGUGAAGAAGGGGGAAAAAUAAAAUGUAUAAAGCGAGCUUCCACUUAGAGGUUUCAACCUAUGGGUUACAACCUAUGGCUUAAAGAGUUUUUAAUGGGUUGUUUCUUUGUCCUCACAGAACUCAGCGUGUCUAGAAACACAUUUUUUUGCAGCAGGCUUUCUAUAACAUCAGCUUGUUCUCGUGUCUGUGGCUGGUUUAUUGCAGCAAUUAUAAUAAUUGAUCAACUUGUAAACCUGAUUAUAAAGUCUGCUCCCUCAUCUGUUUUCUUCCUUGACUGGCUCUUGCUUUGAAGGCGGCAAGGAUUUACAGUGGGGGCUGUCUGCAGCACCGAUCCCCUCCCUGGCCUUCCAUUAAUGUUGCCUGGUUCAGGAAGAACAGUGUAGCUCCCAGGGAGUGGCUGAGGAAGUCUGGUUACAGAGCCUCCAGCCAUUAACCC
ensembl:lncRNA